rfam:Loxodonta africana unplaced genomic scaffold scaffold_41, whole genome shotgun sequence.
CCCUGGGUGGCAAACGGUUAAUGCAUUCGGCUGCUAACUGAAAGGCUGGAGGUUCGAGUCCACCCAGAGGUA